CAUCAUUGGAAGUCGAGCAGAAGGCUCGUUAGAACACAUCCAAUCAGGUGUGUGAAAUGUGACUGAUAGUUGCGGCCAGGAACAAUAGGUGCAGCACCGUAGCUGCGCGCGUCAGCCUGUGCGUGAAGUUGUCUACGGAACGGCGCGACUUUCGAAACUUCUCCACCAACCGCCAUGCGUGACGGCGCGAGCAUCGUUUUUGGCGAUCUUCUUUUGCUCUGGUCGUUCCGUCGUAUUGUCACAAGAAUGUAAACAACUGCUGAAGAGCUUACACGGUAAUCAUGAAAUGCAACCGCCCGACUGUGUUACCGCGGACGUGAUCUACGCGAAAAGAUGGCAACGGAGGAAAGCUGCGCGUGGAGAGGAAAUACAAUGGAACAUGCGGUAGCGGUGCGUACUAUUUAAUUUCAAAUAUAUAUAUGUAUAUAUAUAACUUAAUGGCAUAACAAUUGUAUUAAGUCUCAAGAUUUUUGCAAUGCUAUACUAUAUUUAUAUAUUUCUAAAAAUGUGAACGUGAAUAUAAAACACGAUUUAACGAUGUUACAACAUACAAUAUUUCUACUAUGACUCCGCAUCUAAAAGCGCCCCUUUUCACACAAACUCUCCGGCAUUUCGAUUAAACGCAACGCGAAUACACUCGCGAGAUAUUGAUGACGAUGCUUGAUUCAUGAACGAGAUGUGAUACGUCUAAAAAAAGAAAUACAGUUUUUACCAAGAAAGUCGGUUUCCUCGUUAUGGAUAUAAUCGAGUUAAAACUUUACUCUUGAAUGCCACUGUGGGUGAAUUUGCACUCACACAGUACUGAUUCAUUUUUAUUACUAAUUUUGACAGCUUAAAAUAACAUUCAAUAACAUCUUGUCUACAUAAAAAUACUGUUAUUUUAAUAUUUCGCAACUUAUAAAGUACAAAAAAGUGUGAGAAAAAGAUGAAGUGCUUUCUGCAAAAACCAAACAAGUCCAUUAAAAAAAAAUCUAUAAGUUAUGGCACAAAAUUAUUUUUCAUUAAUUAUCGUGAACAAUUUUCAGGUCAAAGCAUCAAACAGAAAAUAGGAAAUAUAAAUAUAAUAAAUAUACAAUUUCUGAUAAGAACCAAGCACACAAGUGAUUUCCAGAGAUUUGAUUAUGAAUUUUUCUAAAUAUUAACCUGAGGCUCUGCAUGUAUACAUAUAUGGAGAAAUAUUACAGCACAGAAGCUUGCAGAAAUAUUA